GCCAGAGCCCAGCGCGCCCGGAGCCGGCGCUGCCAAGCCCCGGCGCCACCGCGGAGAAUGCAGCUUCGCUCGCCGCCGACUACGGCCCACGCCAUCCUUUGCAUCUGCUCCGCCCACCGCGUCCCUCGGCCUUUUCCGAGUCGGGUCGGGGAGGUUAGGAAAAGGAAGAGCGAAUUCCUCCGGUGCAAUCGCGUCUGCACGCGCUCCGGGGGCAGAGGCCCGGACGGAUUAUGAUCAUUGAUGGAGAUGAUGUGCAGGUGUCCAGCAUGGUCCCUGGAAUCCUGCAUGCUUGUAUUACAGACUUUAUUCAGGGCAGUAAUAUGCAUUCUUUGCUUUUCCUGCCUUCCUCUUUCCUGAUGCCUGGAACUUGGAGCUCCCGCAGCCAUUUUGGACCAAGAGUUGGGUAAAAGAGCCAGCUCUCGAGCCAUCCAACCAGACCUUGAAAGGCAACUUGUCUCAUGCAGCAGAGAAAUUAACCUGUCACCUUAAAGCAACAGUGAUUUUGUUUUCUAUUAUAUGACACAACCUAAGGCGUAUACUUAACGAAAAGUACAUGUUUUUGGUUAAUCAUAAACAUGUUUGCUUGAGCUAAAUUUUCCUCCUUAAAAUUAUUUUUGCUGGUCUGUUCCCAACGCACAAAUGCCUCGCUCACCAGGCCUAGGUUUUCCCCAUCAGCAAAAGAGGAACAAAACUCCCUCCUGCUUAUCUCUAAGACAUGAAAAAGAAACAGAACAUGGGAAGAAAAG